UACGUAGGGGCAAGCGUUGUCCGGAUUUAUUGGGCGUAAAGAGCGUGUAGGCGGUUCGGUAGGUCCGUUGUGAAAACUCGAGGCUCAACCUCGAGACGCCGAUGGAAACCCUCGAACUAGAGUCCGGAAGAGGAGAGUGGAAUUCCGUGGUGUAGCGGUGAAAUGCGCAGAUAUCAGGAAGAACACCCGUGGCUAAGGCGGCUCUCUAGUACGGUACUGACGCUGAGACGCGAAAGCGUGGGGAGCGAACAGG
rnacentral:rRNA from 1 species